rnacentral:lncRNA from 1 species
UGGGGAAAUAAAGGUGCUGCAUCCCGCAGGAGGGGGGUGUUUGGGAGGGGGGCUCCGGGGCCCCGGCAGCUAUGGAGAGGGUCGGAACGCUGUCAGCGGCCUAUGAGUAGGGGCCGGGCCAGAGAAGGACCCCCGGGAGCGGGGGAGGUGGGGAUGUAGCAGGUGUGAAAGUUCACAAGCCGACGCUUGCAUAGAAAGCUGGCAGUUGAGAUGUCCUAGCGAUGCGUACCUGAAACUCGGAGGUUAGAUGAUGGAGUGAAAGUCGCUGAGUCGUCUCCGACUCUGUGCGACCUCAGGGACUGUAGCCCGCCAGGCUCCGCUGUCCAUAGCAUUCUCCAGGCCAGAAUACUGGAGUGGGUAGCCGUUCCCUCCUCCAGGGGGUCUUCCCACCCAAGGAAUCGAACCGAGGUCCCCCACGCUGCAGGCGGAUUUUUUACUGUCUGAGCCACCAGGGAAGCCCCUAGGUGAUGGGAGAGUAUGUUGAAUCCUUAAGGGGCCAAGUGUAGGAACAAGUUAGAUAAGCUCCGAGUGGAAAAGUGGGGAACUGGAUUAGUGGGACUCUGGGGACAUACCUUGGGAGGAAAUUAAGAGCAGCCACAGACGUAUCCAGGUUUGGGAGGCCUUCCAGGGAACUAGUGGGCAUGGAGGUCUAGGAGGUCUGGAGGCCAAAGAGAGGCCUCUGCGGUGGUCCUGGGGGUGGGGUGUGGGGUGUGGGUGUGGGGAGAGGAUGCAUCCUAAAUUGCGGCCGAGGAAGCGACCCGUUAGAGAAAUUCUGGAGGCAAGAAUCCUGGCGAGACUUGGAAGAAGCCUUGAAGAUGUAAAGGACAAAAUAGGCUUGGGAUUUGAUUGGCUGUCGAGGAGUGAGGGAGGCGGGAAGCAGGAGGAAGCUGCCGCUCCGGAUGCUGCUG